rnacentral:rRNA from 2 species
UCGUCACACUAUCAUUAACUGAAUCCAUAGGUUAAUGAGGCGAACCGGGGGAACUGAAACAUCUAAGUACCCCGAGGAAAAGAAAUCAACCGAGAUUCCCCCAGUAGCGGCGAGCGAACGGGGAGGAGCCCAGAGCCUGAAUCAGCAUGUGUGUUAGUGGAAGCGUCUGGAAAGGCGCGCGAUACAGGGUGACAGCCCCGUACACAAAAGCGCAUGUGCUGUGAGCUCGAUGAGUAGGGCGGGACACGUGGUAUCCUGUCUGAAUAUGGGGGGACCAUCCUCCAAGGCUAAAUACUCCUGACUGACCGAUAGUGAACCAGUACCGUGAGGGAAAGGCGAAAAGAACCCCGGCGAGGGGAGUGAAAAAGAACCUGAAACCGUGUACGUACAAGCAGUGGGAGCACAGGUUUACCUGUGUGACUGCGUACCUUUUGUAUAAUGGGUCAGCGACUUAUAUUCUGUAGCAAGGUUAACCGAAUAGGGGAGCCGGAGGGAAACCGAGUCUUAAUUGGGCGUUAAGUUGCAGGGUAUAGACCCGAAACCCGGUGAUCUAGCCAUGGGCAGGUUGAAGGUUGGGUAACACUAACUGGAGGACCGAACCGACUAAUGUUGAAAAAUUAGCGGAUGACCUGUGGCUGGGGGUGAAAGGCCAAUCAAACCGGGAGAUAGCUGGUUCUCCCCGAAAGCUAUUUAGGUAGCGCCUCGUGAAUUCAUCUCCGGGGGUAGAGCACUGUUUCGGCUAGGGGGCCAUCCCGGCUUACCAACCCGAUGCAAACUGCGAAUACCGGAGAAUGUUAUCACGGGAGACACACGGCGGGUGCUAACGUCCGUCGUGAAGAGGGAAACAACCCAGACCGCCAGCUAAGGUCCCAAAGUCAUGGUUAAGUGGGAAACGAUGUGGGAAGGCCCAGACAGCCAGGAUGUUGGCUUAGAAGCAGCCAUCAUUUAAAGAAAGCGUAAUAGCUCACUGGUCGAGUCGGCCUGCGCGGAAGAUGUAACGGGGCUAAACCAUGCACCGAAGCUGCGGCAGCGACACUGUGUGUUGUUGGGUAGGGGAGCGUUCUGUAAGCCUGCGAAGGUGGCCUGUGAGGGUUGCUGGAGGUAUCAGAAGUGCGAAUGCUGACAUAAGUAACGAUAAAGCGGGUGAAAAGCCCGCUCGCCGGAAGACCAAGGGUUCCUGUCCAACGUUAAUCGGGGCAGGGUGAGUCGACCCCUAAGGCGAGGCCGAAAGGCGUAGUCGAUGGGAAACGGGUUAAUAUUCCCGUACUUGGUGUUACUGCGAAGGGGGGACGGAGAAGGCUAUGUUGGCCGGGCGACGGUUGUCCCGGUUUAAGCGUGUAGGUGUGUGUUCCAGGUAAAUCCGGUUCACUUUAACACUGAGGCGUGACGACGAGGCACUACGGUGCUGAAGCAACAAAUGCCCUGCUUCCAGGAAAAGCCUCUAAGCAUCAGGUAACAUCAAAUCGUACCCCAAACCGACACAGGUGGUCAGGUAGAGAAUACCAAGGCGCUUGAGAGAACUCGGGUGAAGGAACUAGGCAAAAUGGUGCCGUAACUUCGGGAGAAGGCACGCUGACACGUAGGUGAAGUGAUUUACUCAUGGAGCUGAAGUCAGUCGAAGAUACCAGCUGGCUGCAACUGUUUAUUAAAAACACAGCACUGUGCAAACACGAAAGUGGACGUAUACGGUGUGACGCCUGCCCGGUGCCGGAAGGUUAAUUGAUGGGGUCAGCGCAAGCGAAGCUCCUGAUCGAAGCCCCGGUAAACGGCGGCCGUAACUAUAACGGUCCUAAGGUAGCGAAAUUCCUUGUCGGGUAAGUUCCGACCUGCACGAAUGGCGUAAUGAUGGCCAGGCUGUCUCCACCCGAGACUCAGUGAAAUUGAACUCGCUGUGAAGAUGCAGUGUACCCGCGGCAAGACGGAAAGACCCCGUGAACCUUUACUAUAGCUUGACACUGAACAUUGAGCCUUGAUGUGUAGGAUAGGUGGGAGGCUUUGAAGUGUGGACGCCAGUCUGCAUGGAGCCGACCUUGAAAUACCACCCUUUAAUGUUUGAUGUUCUAACGUGGACCCGUUACCCGGGUUGCGGACAGUGUCUGGUGGGUAGUUUGACUGGGGCGGUCUCCUCCUAAAGAGUAACGGAGGAGCACGAAGGUUGGCUAAUCCUGGUCGGACAUCAGGAGGUUAGUGCAAUGGCAUAAGCCAGCUUGACUGCGAGCGUGACGGCGCGAGCAGGUGCGAAAGCAGGUCAUAGUGAUCCGGUGGUUCUGAAUGGAAGGGCCAUCGCUCAACGGAUAAAAGGUACUCCGGGGAUAACAGGCUGAUACCGCCCAAGAGUUCAUAUCGACGGCGGUGUUUGGCACCUCGAUGUCGGCUCAUCACAUCCUGGGGCUGAAGUAGGUCCCAAGGGUAUGGCUGUUCGCCAUUUAAAGUGGUACGCGAGCUGGGUUUAGAACGUCGUGAGACAGUUCGGUCCCUAUCUGCCGUGGGCGCUGGAGAACUGAGGGGGGCUGCUCCUAGUACGAGAGGACCGGAGUGGACGCAUCACUGGUGUUCGGGUUGUCAUGCCAAUGGCACUGCCCGGUAGCUAAAUGCGGAAGAGAUAAGUGCUGAAAGCAUCUAAGCACGAAACUUGCCCCGAG